rnacentral:rRNA from 1 species
GGGACGAACGCUGGCGGCGUGCUUAACACAUGCAAGUCGUGGGCACCAGCAAUGGUGACCGGCGAACGGGUGCGUAACACGUAAGCGACCUACCGAUUUGAGGGGGAUAGCCGGCCCAACGGCCGGGUAAUACCGCAUACGCCAGGCGAGCUUCAUGGCUUGCUUGGGAAACCUCAGGGGCAAAUCGAGGGCUUGCGGCCUAUCAGCUAGUUGGCGGGGUAAUGGCCCACCAAGGCUACGACGGGUAGCUGGU